rnacentral:misc_RNA from 1 species
ACAAACUUGGUCAUUUAGAGGAAGUAAAAGUCGUAACAAGGUAACCGUAGGUGAACCUGCGGUUGGAUCAUUACCAAAAGAUCAAUCAUGGUGCCAUGGUCCAGCGUUCUCUGGGUCCCUCCGGACCCGGGGAGGGCUGGCUCAUGCGUGCCAGAUGCUCCACAAAAGCAUCACACACCUUUGUGAACCACUGAACCGUCUAUUGGCGACGCGCCACGCUGCGCUCAAGAGAUAAUCUGAAUGCCUCGUGGACCCCCCUUUGGGUGGGCCGUGGGGGUGGAUCCCUGACCCGAUCCUUCGGGGCAAGAUCCGCCUCUCAGUCGUCGUCGCCAGAAAUGCACACACACCUUUGUUUUUUUUAUACCGCUUAGACUCUUUCACAUUCUCAUGUGAAGGCAAAGAGAGAAAAUGAGAAACAACUUUAGACAACGGAUCUCUUGGCUCUCGCAUCGAUGAAGAACGCAGC